rnacentral:tRNA from 1 species
GGGCGUUUGGCAGAACGGUUAUGCAUCUGACUCUUAAUCAGGCUCACACGGGUUCAACUCCUGUAGCGCCCACCA